UCUAAGCCAAAGCUGGAGUCAACUUUCAGUUGACCCGACUCGCCGAGUGGAUCACCACUCGCCGAGUCCCUAGCAAACCAAUGUCCUGGGUCCCUGGUUCUACUCGUCGAGUCGGGCUAUGACUCGACGAGUUCACCUUCUAACUGCCAUUCAACACCUUCAUCCUACUCGCCGAGUUGUAUGAACAACUCGUCGAGUUCAUCUUCAUCCGAUGAACACUUUAUGCUAAGACUCGCCGAGUUGUAUGAACAACUCGCCGAGUCUGUUCUUGAGCUAUGAAGAUUGCCUUGGACUCGCCGAGUCAGGGCAUUGACUCGCCGAGUCCUAACAUGGGUGAGUUCAGCUCCCAACUCACCGAGUCACCCCCUGUGACUCAAGGCUCAACUCGACACAUGAAGAAGGGACCAAUUCGGUGACUCGCGACCAGACUCGCCGAGUCACCUAUGCGACUCGCCGAGUCGUCGCCAUGCACUCCUUAAAUAUACCGAUUUGCUCGGUUCCAGACCAUGCCAUUCAUAGAUCUGGACUUCUAGGACACGAAUCACACGUAAAGUUUCCAACUUUACGUGUGGAUAUUCACCAAUAUGGAUUAUAAGGCUCAAAAUGUCUCAAAAUGGUAGAUCUAGGGCUAACAAGCCUCAUGAGGCCAAAAAGCUAACAGAUCUGAGCUCCUGGAGCUCAAUCUUACAUAGAUCCAAAGGCCAAACGCCUUAUUACAACAUAUAAUGAACAUGCAAACUUGGGGAAUUGACCAAGAAGGACCCAAAUGAAGUUUUAAGCAUAGAAUCAAGGGGAAAACGGGUUAUACCUCAAAGGAAAUGUUGAAAUGACACAAGGAUGGCUGAUCUCCUUCUCCUCUUCUUGAUCUACUCCUCUUACUCUUCAAAACCUUCAAGAACACACCAAGAACACCUCAAACUCUCAAGAAAACAAGGGAAAACGAUGUAGGGGGAGUUCUGGGGGUGAAUGGGGACGAGUUGGGGCGGAAUGAGAGUUUAAAUAGGGUGCAAACCCUUGAAACUUAGGGUUUCAUCCCGCAGCGGUGACUCGCCGAGUCCAGGAUAUGGACUCGUCGAGUCGCCUACUUAAAACGCGUCCUGAGUCUCGUCCCUACUCGGCGAGUCGGACCCUAUGACUCGCCGAGUCUAAGGCUAAAUUAGGGCAAUGCUCAAAUAAAAUUCACAUACCGGAAACCAGGUGCUACAAAUCUCCCCCACUUAUUUUAGACUUCGUCCUCGAAGUCUGCUGCCUGAUCCUGAAACAGCUCGGGGUAGUGCUCCAUCAUCUCGUCUACCGGCUCCCAAGUCCACUCUGAACCCUUGCGGUGCUGCCAUUGCACCUUCACUAGCUCCACCCUCUUGUUCCUUAAAUCCUUCGACUUCCUGUCGAGGAUUGCGACUGGGCGCUCGAUGUAGUUCAGGCUGUCAUCAACCUGAAUAUCCUCCAAAGGUACUACUGCAGAAUCGUCCACUAGGCACUUCCGCAACUGCGAAACAUGGAAAGUGCUGUGGAUCUGGCUAAGCUCGGCUGGCAGAUCCAGCCUAUAUGCUACCUUGCCCACCCGGGCUAAGACCCUGAACGGUCCGAUGAAUCGCGGGCCCAACUUGCCCCGCUUCCUGAAUCGGAUGACGCCUUUCCACGGUGACACCUUCAGGAGGACCAUAUCCCCGACCUGGAACUCUAAAUCGGAUCGACGCUUGUCGGCAUAACUUUUCUGUCGACUCUGAGCAGUCUGAAGCCUGCUCCGGACCUGCUGUAUCCUCUCAGUCGUCUUGAGCACCACUUCGGUGCUUCCCAUAACUCUCUGGCCAACCUCACCCCAGCAUAUCGGGGUCCUACACCUCCGUCCGUACAACAUCUCGAAGGGAGGGCGGUCGAUACUCGCGUGAUAGCUGUUGUUGUAGGAGAACUCAGCCAAAGGAAGAUAGGUAUCCCAGCUACCACCGAAAUCCAGAACACACGCCCGCAACAUGUCCUCCAAAGUCUGGAUGGUCCGCUCACUCUGUCCAUCUGUCUGCGGGUGAAAGGCGGUGCUGAAAUGCAGACGAGUGCCCAACUCGUCAUGGAAUCUCUUCCAAAACCUGGAAGUAAAACGCACAUCCCUGUCCGAGAUCACCGAUACUGGCACCCCAUGCCGUGCCACAAUCUCCCUGAUAUAGAUGUCGGCCAAUUUCUCGGCCGAUAUGCUCUCCGGAAUCGGAAUAAAGUGAGCACUCUUGGUCAAUCUAUCCACGAUGACCCAAAUCGAAUCCACUCCACGCGCGGUCCUGGGAAGCUUCGUGAUAAAAUCCAUCGUGAUAUCUUCCCACUUCCACAGUGGAAUGUCCAACGGCUGCAUCUUGCCAUGCGGCCUCUGAUGUUCGGCCUUGACCUUCCUGCAGGUCAAGCACCGCUCGACGUACCAUGCCACAUCCCGCUUCAUGCAGGGCCACCAAUAGUCUAGACGAAGAUCCCUAUACAUCUUCGUCGCCCCGGGAUGAAUAGAGAAUCGGGACUUGUGCGCCUCCUCCAUCAAAAUCUGGCGCACGCCCCCGUGAUACGGCACCCACACCCUAUGGUGUAGUGUCAAUAACCCUCGGCUAUCAUAAUCGAAGGAGGAAACCUGACCUACUACGCGCUCGUUCUUCCGAUGCUCCUCCUUGAUAGCCUCCUGUUGAGCUUCCCGAAUCUGCUCCAACAGGGGAGUCACCACAGUCAUCCUCAAACAGGCGUCCCUGAUCGGCGCCGUCUUGCGGCUAAGCGCAUCGGCCACCACAUUGGCCUUUCCCGGGUGGUAAAGGAUCUCGCAAUCAUAAUCCUUCACCACAUCCAACCACCGACGCUGCCUCAUGUUCAGAUUCGGCUGGUCCAUGAGGUACCUCAAGCUCUUGUGGUCCGUGUAGAUGGUACACCGAACCCCAUAGAGGUAAUGUCGCCAAAUCUUGAGGGCAAAUACCACCGCCCCCAACUCCAAAUCGUGCGUCGGGUAGUUCGCCUCGUGAGGCUUGAGCUGCCUCGAAGCGUAAGCAAUGACAUGCCCCCUUUGCAUCAGCACCGCGCCCAACCCAGAAAUGGACGCAUCGCAAUAAACCACGAAAUCCUCUACGCCCUCUGGCAGGGCUAAGAUCGGCGCCUCACACAAUCUCUGUCUCAGCGUCUCAAAUGCAGCCUGCUGCUCGGGUCCCCACCGAAAGACCACGGCUUUCUUCGUCAGCCGCGUCAGGGGCACGGCUAUCUUGGAGAAAUCCUGGAUAAAUCUCCGAUAGUAGCCUGCCAAUCCUAGGAAGCUCCGAAUCUCAGAUGGGGACUUCGGAACCUCCCAUCUCAUCACGGCCUCGACCUUGGCCGGAUCGACCAGAAUCCCGUUCUGGUUGACGAGGUGCCCCAGAAAUUGCACCUCGCGCAACCAAAACUCACACUUGGAGAACUUGGCAUACAAGCUCUCCCUCCUCAGGGUCUCUAACACCUCUCUCAAAUGCUCCUCAUGUUCCUCCCGGGUCUUGGAAUAAACCAAGAUAUCAUCGAUAAAGACUAUCACAGACCGGUCCAGCAUCGGUCUGCAUACACGGUUCAUGAGGUCCAUGAACGCGGCAGGAGCAUUGGUGAGCCCAAACGGCAUCACCACAAACUCGUAAUGGCCAUAGCGCGUCCGAAACGCGGUCUUCUGCAUAUCCUCCUCCCUGACCCUCAUCUGAUGAUAACCCGAACGCAAAUCAAUCUUGGAGAACCAAGAUGCGCCCUGAAGCUGGUCAAAGAGGUCAUCAAUCCUCGGAAGCGGGUAACGGUUCUUCACCGUUACCUUGUUCAGCUCCCGAUAAUCUAUACACAUCCGAUGCGACCCAUCCUUCUUCUUCACAAACAGAAUCGGGGCUCCCCAGGGCGAACUGCUCGGCCGAAUAAAUCCCUUGUCCAGCAGCUCCUGCAGCUGCGUAGACAACUCCUGCAUCUCGGGAGGAGCCAACCGAUACGGUGCUUUGGCUAUCGGAGCCGCACCGGGAACGAGGUCAAUCCUGAACUCCACCUGUCGCUCCGGAGGUAUCCCAGGUAGUUCCUCCGGAAAAACAUCAGCAAAAUCUCGAACCACCGGGACCUCGCUCACGGUCGCCUUACCCGCCUCCCGGGUGUCCAUCACGUACGCGACAUAACCCGCGCAUCCCUGCUGAAGGUAGCGCCUAGCCCUCGCUGCUGAACAUACAGUGGGUCCACACUGCGGCCGCUCUCCAUGAAUCACUAACUCUCCCCCGCUUGGGGUCUUGACUCGCACUAGCUGCUGUGCGCAAUCUAUCACUGCCCCAUUAGGGCUCAACCAAUCCAUACCAAUAAUCACCUUGUUCCCACGCAAUGGAAUGGGAACCAAGUCUACCAGGUAACACUCCUCAAACAGUCGCAGGACACAAUCUCGAAACACCAUCGAUGCUCGCACCGAUCGAUCAUCGGCAAUCUCUACCUCUAACGGGCAAUCUAACUCGCCUGAAGUCUCAUGAAAUCUCUUGCUAAGAGCAAGAGAAACGAACGAUCGGGAUGCACCCGAGUCGAACAAUACCUGAACCGGGAUGCCGUUCACAUGGAACGAUCCUAAUACACAUGUAUACACACGGAGCACAUAUCAAUAUCAUAACAACGUAAAAUAAAAGAUAGAAGGAAGGAAUCAUACCCGUCACCACAUCGGGCGCGGCGCGUGCCUCCUCGGCAGUCAACUGAAAUGCCCGACUCCUCACCACUGGAGCCUCUGCCUUGCCCUGACGGCCAUCCGUGAUCCGCAGGGUCGCUGGAGCUGGCGCCUUCACUGGCGCUGAAGCUGUCAACAUGGGGCAAUUGGCCUUCUUGUGGCCCCUCUGGUUGCAGUGGAAACACAGCAACUCCGAUGUCUGAAUAACGGUCGCAGGAGCAGUGCAAUCCCUGCUGAUAUGCCCAAACUUGCCGCACUUGUAGCAGCCUGACGAUCCCAUCCUGCACGCCCCCUCGUGCGGCCUGCCGCACCUCCUGCAGCGGCUCGGUCCCGACUGGCCUUUCGGCCUCCCAUCUGAUCCCUUGGGCUUCUUCCCCGAAGCCCCCGAUGACUGACCAUCCUCAAGUUUCCGUUUCCGGAUGUGCUCCAAAUCUAUCUCUCUCUCCCUAGCCCUGGCAAUCAUGGAGUCCAGGGUAGGGCAAGCCGAAAAACUAACAUGCUCCCGAAUGUCAGCUCGUAGCAUAUCAUGGUAACGAGUCCUCCUCAUAUCCUCGUCACCUGCAUACUGGGGCACCAAUAAAGCCCUCUCCCGAAACUUGGCGGUGAUCUCCGCCACGGUCUCUGUCGUCUGCCUCAUGUCUAAGAACUCCCUGGCCAGCUGCUGAAGCUCGACCGCUGGCGCAAACUCUGCCCUGAACCUAGCCACAAAGUCCGACCAGGUCAUUGCCUCGAUAGCCGAGGCUCCCAUCGAGUCACCCACUGACUCCCACCAAUCUCGGGCCCGGUCCCGUAAACACCCUGCUGCGUACCUCACCUUCGACCCCUCGGGGCAGAAGCUGAUCAACUGGGCGGACUCGAUAUCCGCAAUCCACCGCCUGGCGACAAUGGGGUCCUUCACCCCAUGGAAAUCCGGCGCACCACUGCUCCUGAAGUCCUUGAAGGACAGUGUGCGAGAUCCUGACUGGCUAGAGGCCAAGUCGCUCCUGAAUGCCCGUAGGCGAUCCUCCAUCAUCUCCACGAUCCCUUCCUUGAUCGACCCAAAGAUGAUGGGGGUCGACUCAAGGAUGCCCCUAGUGAUCUCCGACGUGAUGAACUCACGUAGCCUCUCCUCAAUCGGCUCGGUGCCAGAUCCCGAACCUGACCCCUCUCCUGACCCGCCAUCUGUCGGUCUCGGUCGAAGUACCACCAUUCUGCAAAACAUCAAUAAUAAUCAUUAGUGGUACUGCUACUUUCUGAGGGAUCUCAACUACUUACAGGUUCCUUGGUCUCGUCUUGGCCUUCCUCGGCUCGGGUACGGAUCCUCUGCUUUCAGUAGUACGGGCCCAUACUACCUUCCACAUCUAUCCGUACCUUCUCCGAGGAAUUCCUCGACUCCACCAACUCCCCUCUACUACUGCUACUCUCCGAUAUUCUCACCCUAGGCUUGCCCUAGGGAGAACUCAAGUUCAACACAACUGGUCCUCAGCUGCUGUAGGUCUCCUCAUAAUGCCAGUUAGCCACCACCUAAACACCACCACCUGUGAUGAGGAUUAGAUCAUCCUUCAAGUAAAAGGCCCGUCCCUACAACGGUUGGACUCAAACAAGAGCUGCGCAAUAGGGCCAGUUCCAACACUUUGGGAUUAUUCAACCCCGAUUACAUGUGGUGUGACGUGUUUACCUAGUGGCUCACUCCCAUUACUCAGAAUCCCACCGAGCACGAAGCAAGCAGCAUUCGGAUAAGGAAAAACAGACUCAAGCCAAAACUGUUCUUAGAACAAGAAACGACACUUAACAUAGGAUGCUAAGCUCAUACUAUCAGGCAUAACCUAAACAGGCUACCCUACUGCUGUCUACUCAAUUCUAGCAUGCAAUAUUCAAUAAGCUGUAACAAAUAAACAGGCACAUAAGGCAUCACUCCUAGAUCCUUAGCCUAUUCUAGCAUGCAAUAUUCAUAAAGCUGAUAAACAUAACAUAAACUUGUAUGGGUACUAUGGGGAAUACUUACUUGAGCUCGGCCGGUCGCGCACGUCACACACUUUACUCUUUCUCGUGACUCUUUUCCGGGUUUUAAAGAAUAAUUUCUUUUGGAAAAAUCUUUCAAUCCCUCGGUUUGAGUCCAAACACUCCCGAAGGCGUGUCCGAAUCCCUCAAACCAGGGCUCUGAUACCAACUUGUAACGACCCAAAUUUUUUUUUUUUUUUGAUAUUACUUUAGAAAACAUUAAUAAAUAAAAACAUUGUCUAAAUAAAAAGAAACAUUGUUUGUUCACACCAUAACACAUUGCAACCAUGUUCUCAAAAGCCAAACCGUACAUCCCAUCAAAUAUCAGAGUACAAUCCCAGUAAAUCUCAUAAAUGCGGAAACCGAAGAGUGUGUGUAUGACGUGCCGCUACCGCGCCGGCUCCUUCCCCUUCGAUGCAGAGGUACCUGAAAACAAAACUGUAAACGUAAGCACAAAGCUUAGUGAGUUCCCCCAACGUACCGCAUACCAUACAAACACAUAACAUAUAUACUGCCAGGCUAUUCUGGGGUGCCUGACUACCCGGUACGGCCAUUCUGGGGUGCCGACCUACCCAUACGGCCAUUCUGGGGUGCCGUCUUACCCGUGUCAAGCCAUUCUGGGGUGCUGACUACCCAUCGGUCCUAACAACCGAUCCUCGGGGACUAUUUCACCCCUACUACUACGAUCACAUAUAACAUAACAAGCCAGCAUGCAUACAUAUCGUCACAUACUGUCAGACGUAUCUGGGGUGUCUGACUACCCUUCGGUCCGAACAACCAAACUCUACUACUAUCACAUACAGCAUAUCAUGCUAGCAUAUAACAUGUCAGGUACUAGCGAACUUAGAUGAUAUCACAAAGACAAUCAUCUAUCAUACAACUCCUACUGGUGGGUCGGCAUUGUGGCCUUAGACCCACCGCUACUGGAAGGUAACUCACCUCAAAGUAGCUGCUGAACUGAUCGGGAACUAACUGACUGCUGCUGCUCCGGGAGUCCUCCGGCUGCAAUUUCCACGACAUACUCAAUCAAACACUGCUAACUGUCCUUUAGGUAAAAUGACCAUUUUACCCCUGGAUUAACUCUAAGCCAAAGCUGGAGUCAACUUUCAGUUGACCCGACUCGCCGAGUGGAUCACCACUCGCCGAGUCCCUAGCAAACCAAUGUCCUGGGUCCCUGGUUCUACUCGUCGAGUCGGGCUAUGACUCGACGAGUUCACCUUCUAACUGCCAUUCAACACCUUCAUCCUACUCGCCGAGUUGUAUGAACAACUCGUCGAGUUCAUCUUCAUCCGAUGAACACUUUAUGCUAAGACUCGCCGAGUUGUAUGAACAACUCGCCGAGUCUGUUCUUGAGCUAUGAAGAUUGCCUUGGACUCGCCGAGUCAGGGCAUUGACUCGCCGAGUCCUAACAUGGGUGAGUUCAGCUCCCAACCCACCGAGUCACCCCCUGUGACUCAAGGCUCAACUCGACACAUGAAGAAGGGACCAAUUCGGUGACUCGCGACCAGACUCGCCGAGUCACCUAUGCGACUCGCCGAGUCGUCGCCAUGCACUCCUUAAAUAUACCGAUUUGCUCGGUUCCAGACCAUGCCAUUCAUAGAUCUGGACUUCUAGGACACGAAUCACACGUAAAGUUUCCAACUUUACGUGUGGAUAUUCACCAAUAUGGAUUAUAAG
rnacentral:lncRNA from 1 species